rnacentral:pre_miRNA from 1 species
UUCUUUGGUAUUCCACCUUUAAAAGUAUAAUUAGCAAGCAUGGUGGAAAUUUCAGCUGCAUUAAACUUUUAAAGGUGGAAUACCAAAGGA